rnacentral:lncRNA from 13 species
GUCUGCAGGAUGAUAUUCCCCACGUGCCUGGGGGAGCUGGGAAUGGCUGGGAAAGUCGUAAAAGUCACAAAAUUUAAAAAAAAACAAACCUCGGGAUCUGGUACCUUUUAUUUGGUGAGGAUGGGCAGGAGGGAGCAGGGAGAGGAGGAGGAAGAGCAGGAGGAGGGGACAGGACCCUGCAGUGACCUCAGCCCGAAAAUGCCCGGGACAGAGAAAAAAACAGGCAAAAAACUCAGCCCAAAGUAUUUCCUGGGAAUUGGCAGCCCAGGGCAGCACGGGAACGAGCGGAGAGGGGCUGGAGCCUCCUCACCGGGAUGUGCCAGGAAAAGCCUCCAAGGGAGAAGGGAGAGACGGUGGAGAAAUAUCAACAGAGCCUCCACCAACCCUCGUGGGCACCACCCCGCUUCUCUCCACCAAAAAAAUCCUUAAACAUCAGGAAGAAUCAGCCUCAUCCAUAUGGAAAUGAUGGGAAUUAAAGAGCAUAAAGAUGUCCAGGUUUCCCCAAAGGUUGGCCAGAGCCAGAGCAGGACUCAGGGAUUCCCCCAGCGCAGCACAAUUGACUCAUUCUCACUUCUAGAAGUUCAAAGGGACACUAAAAAUUAAAUCACUUUUCUGUCUGUGCUGACAGGAAACCAUCGGAGCACGGAUGACCUGGACUGGGGAAGUUCAUCCCGGGAAAUGGAAGUCAAGGCUUUGAGUGUUCCACUUCUCUCUUGGAAACAACCACAGCAAAUAUUGAACGGUGCUUGCUUGUGGAGUUUUCCUCUCAGAGCAGAGCAGAUCCCAGGAAUCGGAGCCAGGGAAGGCUGGGAUCCAGGAGGACGGCAGCGAUGCGUGAGGAGGAGGGUUUUUAAAUCCCAAAUCCUUUGGGACAGGGAUUAUCCAGUCAAAGUUACAACCCACGAGCAGCACACAAAGGAGUUUGCAGACGGACUGGGGGGGGUUGGUACCAUUCCCACGGCCAUGAGAGACCCGGACCCCGAAUUUUGCCCAGGGUUCCAGAGAGAUUUUUCCAUAAUUUUUCCAUAAAUAUGCAUUUUUCCCACUCAAACACCGCCCUCUGCUGCAGGCAGGGCUGGAUGCUCGGGAACAGAUUCCCGAGCGUUGCCCUUGGCAACGCAGUUGUUGAAGGCGAUAAAAAUUCUGAUGUCUUGGUGGUUUAGAAAAUGCCAGAGCAUCAAAAUGCAAAUGAUUCAGCCUCCUGCAAAGGGCAUCUGAGGUAAGGGAUAUGUUUAACUCCGGGAGGAGCAGAGCGCUGAGAGCUGAGCCCCAGCUCCUCGUGGCACCUCGGGCAGCUGGUGUGUUGGCACCUCCUGCCCACUCCUGCCACGUUUGGGAGCUUUUUGCUUCCACAACCAGGGCAAGCUCACCCCAAACCGGUAUUUUUAAUCCCUCUUUGUGCACAUUCCCUCUUUUCCCUGGAGCUCCAGCUCAGCGAAGGGCUCUUUAUAAUCAGCUAUAAUUGCCCCAAGCUGGCAGGGGAGAAGCGAGGCUGAGCCAGCUGCUGGGAUCCGCAUUUACCCCUUGCCACUCUCUGCUCCAGGCCGGAGCUGCUCAGGCUUGGCCCAAGAAUUUCACAACCAGCUGCGAGAAACUCAUCCUGCCCACAGCAAAAAUCCUGAUUUCACCCUGCCAGCCUGGGGCUCCCAGAGAGUUCUGCCCACGCUUGAGCCACAGGGAAGCGUUUUUGCUGGGAACAGCCCUUCCCAAAGCCUGGCUGAGGCAGGAGCAGCAAGAAUUGAAUUUGCGAUUCCCUGGGUAGACCUGGUGUCCCUGGGGGGCCACUCCAGCUCAGCCCAAGGUCCCAAAAAUGUGUGAAUUUGUGGAAUUGGUCCUUUCACAUUCCCUGAGGGAAAAUACCCUCGUCUGCUCUGCCUCCAAAUGGAUUUAGAGGAAAACACCUGAGCUGGGUUAACAUUGGGAAUUGUUUGUUUUAUUCGGGAUGAGGAAAACACAGGGUGAGCGCUGCAAAGAGAGCGGGCAGGCCCCGGGAUCUCCAUUCUUCAGCUGAUCUGCCAAAAACGAGUUUUAAUGGACUCCUGGAGCUGCUGCUGCUGUGCCUUCCCUCCAGGAAUUCCAGGGGGUGCUGGAUA